UACGUAGGGUCCGAGCGUUGUCCGGAAUUAUUGGGGGUAAAGAGCUCGUAGGCGGUUUGUCGCGUCUGCUGUGAAAUCCCGAGGCUCAACCUCGGGUCUGCAGUGGGUACGGGCAGACUGGAGUGCGGUAGGGGAGAAUGGAAUUCCUGGUGUAGCGGUGGAAUGCGCAGAUAUCAGGAGGAACACCGAUGGCGAAGGCAGUUCUCUGGGCCGUAACUGACGCUGAGGAGCGAAAGCGUGGGGAGCGAACAGG
rnacentral:rRNA from 1 species